rnacentral:rRNA from 1 species
UUCCUACGGGACGCAGCAGUGGGGAAUAUUGCACAAUGGGGGAAACCCUGAUGCAGCAACGCCGCGUGAGUGAGGAAGUAUUUCGGUAUGUAAAGCUCUAUCAGCAGGGAAUAGAAAAGAAGGUACCUGAAAAAGAAGCCCCGGCUAACUACGUGCCAGCAGCCGCGGUAAUACGUAGGGGGCAAGCGUUAUCCGGAUUUAUUGGGUGUAAAGGGCGUGUAGGCGGGGGCGCAAGUCAGAUGUGAAAACUCAGGGAUCAACCCUGAGCAUGCAUUUGAAACUG